CCUUGUUGAUAAAGGAGUACAUGCCACUCAAGAAAUUAGGUAUUUGAUGUGAGACAGUGUAAGCUGCUCGUCUCAGCAGUCGUCCUGCGACUAAAGGAAGGGUUUUCUAGACUGACAGCUACCUGAAGAUCUCAACGCUGACACCAUGGCCACUACAGUCUCCAUGGCGACUGCUUCCAUGACUGCCACCGUCAUCGCCAUGGAUACCAGGUGCAUAUUGGGAUGGCUGUUUGUAUGCAUGUUCCCUCAGGUGAGAGUGAGAGGAGAUGAAAUGAAGCCGGGCUCCGAGUCGUCUGAUGUUUCUCCUCCUGAUAAAUUGAUAUAAUUAAAAAUAAAUAUAAAGCCGUGUUGAGCUGCGAGCCCGCGGCCAUG